rnacentral:rRNA from 1 species
UACGUAGGGUGCAAGCGUUAAUCGGAAUUACUGGGCGUAAAGCGUGCGCAGGCGGUUUUGUAAGUCUGUCGUGAAAUCCCCGGGCUCAACCUGGGAAUUGCGAUGGAGACUGCAAGGCUAGAAUCUGGCAGAGGGGGUAGAAUUCCGACGUGUGAGCAGUGAAAUGCGUAGAGAUGCGGAGGAACACCGAUGGCGAAGGCAGCCCCCUGGGCUAACACUGACGCUCAGGCACGAAAGCGUGGGAGCAAGAGG